UACGAAGGGGACUAGCGUUGUUCGGAAUUACUGGGCGUAAAGCGCACGUAGGCGGAUUUGUAAGUCAGGGGUGAAAUCCCGGGGCUCAACCUCGGAACUGCCUUUGAUACUGCAAAUCUCGAGUCCGAUAGAGGUGGGUGGAAUUCCUAGUGUAGAGGUGAAAUUCGUAGAUAUUAGGAAGAACACCGGUGGCGAAGGCGGCCCACUGGAGCGGUACUGACGCUGAGGUGCGAAAGCGUGGGGAGCAAACAGG
rnacentral:rRNA from 1 species